UUUUGCAAGCCAGCAGGUGCGCUUGGACUGCUCCCCCAGUAGAGAGAGGUCCUGUAUGAAACCUGGCAGUACAUCCCAUAUGCCGUGAAUGUCUUCAAGUAGCAACGCAGGGAUGGCGACAACAAUGCUACUGAAAAGUUCUGCAGCAUGCAAACCACCGAACCCUGCAGCAAGAAGGCAGGAAAGUGGGAUAAGGCCCAUGUGACAGCUCCUCCUCUGCCCAGCUGCCAGGCACCAGGGCGAGCCUCUUCACCUGGACGGCUUUGAGACCAGAUAAGGCACAUGAGCCCGGGUAACCAGGAGGAGCUCCAACCUUCCGUGCCGAGAUCAGCAUUUCUGGUCUGUAGAGCACACACCCAGCAGCAAUAGCUGCGGUGGACCUGGGGCAGAGCCGAAGGCAAGGCUGCCACAUGCUGCUUAGCUGAUAGCCACACGGGCGCACGCUGUCACAAAAGGUGUCCUCAUUUUCAGGAGUGCACAUUUUCUUUCCAAAGGGGUACAGACGGAGCUGUUAAUUAUGUCAUUUUCUUGCUAAAGUCAGUGGGAAAACUGGGAAGUUAUUUCACACAAAGCAACGCAUCGAGCCCCCAGUUCUGGAAAUGCACAAUGCCAUUCUCAAGCUAUUCUGUGAAACAUUUGUUGUUAGCCAAAUUAGUGGUUGCGAGCGCAAGGCAGGAACUCAGUGGGCCUCUGAUGCAACAGGAAUGCACUGGAGUUCAAACAACCUGUUGUCAUCUAUUGCAUUCCUGCAGGGAAGCAGUAGGAAUCACUGACUCAGAGCUACUUACAGAGGUAAAUACUGGGUCACCACACACUCAGCAAUGAUAACACGAACAGGAGAAAAAUACAGAAUGGGUACGACAGAAACGACAGAAAAACACAGUGCUUCUGUAGGCAGUGAAAUAGCAAAGGAGUUGCUGUGUUGUGACGGCUGUGCUCCAGGAGCACUGCUCAGAGAAGGUCUGUAAUUGUUUCUUACAGUCUUCCCUCUGCAGCUGGAGCUGAAAAACAGCUGUAGCAGUUGCACUGUGAAACUGGACUCAAAGGAGAGAGAAAAAACCUGUGUGCUCUGUCUUACUCUGUCACCCGGUGGGUGGAAUAAAACUGUGUGGCUCAUAGGCAUGUUCAGGACGACAGCUUGGCACCUUGAAACUAGAUCAGUUGGGCAUUUGCUACACAUGAGGUGAGAUGAGAACAGAUUCC
ensembl:lncRNA